GAUGAACGCUGGCGGCGUGCCUAAUACAUGCAAGUCGAGCGAACGGACGAGAAGCUUGCUUCUCUGAUGUUAGCGGCGGACGGGUGAGUAACACGUGGAUAACCUACCUAUAAGACUGGGAUAACUUCGGGAAACCGUAGCUAAUACCGGAUAAUAUUUUGAACCGCAUGGUUCAAAAGUGAAAGACGGUCUUGCUGUCACUUAUAGAUGGAUCCGCGCUGCAUUAGCUAGUUGGUAAGGUAACGGCUUACCAAGGCAACGAUGCAUAGCCGACCUGAGAGGGUGAUCGGCCCCCCUGGAACUGAGACACGGUCCAGACUCCUACGGGAGGCAGCAGUAGGGAAUCUUCCGCAAUGGGCGAAGGCCUGACGGAGCAACGCCGCGUGAGUGAUGAAGGUCUUCGGAUCGUAAAACUCUGUUAUUAGGGAAGAACAUAUGUGUAAGUAACUGUGCACAUCUUGACGGUACCUAAUCAGAAAGCCACGGCUAACUACGUG
rnacentral:rRNA from 1 species